rnacentral:lncRNA from 1 species
AUCAUAAGUUGUAUGCAAAGUUCUCUAAAUGUGACUUCUGGUUAAAAUCUGUGGCAUUCUUAGGUCAUAUUGUAUCCGAUGAAGGAAUAGGGUUGAUAACUAGAAGAUAGAAGCCGUGAAAAACUGGCCAAGACCUACAAUGCCUAUGGAGAUUCGUAGUUUCCUUAGAUUGGCAAGUUAUUAUAGAAGGGUCAUUGAAGGAUUCUCUUCCAUUGCUGCACCCUUAACAAAGUUAACACACAAAGAAACCAAGUUUCAGUGGAGUGAUGAAUGUGAAAGAAGCUUCCUAGAGCUGAGGAAUAAAUUAACUUCUACACCUGUAUUAGUACUUCCAGAAGGAACAGAAGGGUAAUGCAGUGUAUUGUGAUGCUUCGGGAGUGGGCCUAGGAUGUGUAUUGAUGCAGCAUGGUAAAGUAAUAGCUUAUGGCUCAAGGUAGCUGCGGCCACAUGAGAAAAAUUAUCCAACUCAUGAUCUAGAGCUAGCAGCAGUUGUAUUUGCUUUGAAGAUAUGGCGCCACUACUUGUAUGGAAUUCAUGUUGACCUAUACAUUGAUCACAAAAGUUUGCAGUAUAUCUUUAAGCAAAAGGACCUAAUUCUGAGGCAGCGAAGAUGGCAGGAGUUAUUAAAAGAUUAUGACAUUGAUAUCUUGUAUCAUCCUGGGAAAGUAAAUAUAGUAGCUGAUGCGUUAUGUCGUAAAAUAAUGGCAAGCACUUAUGGGCAGUCUGUGGAAAGACAAGGAAUAACUAAGGAUCUAUGUCAACUAUCUAGCUUGGGGGUUCGCCUUCUUGAAUCUCCAGACGAAGGGGUUAUUGUGUAAAAUGUGGCAGAAUCCUCAUUAGUAGUGGAAGUGAAAGAGAAGCAGUACACUAAUCCUAUUCUAUUAAAGCUUAAAGAGAAUGUACAACAGGGUAUGACAAAGGCAUUUGAGCUUACGCAAGAGAGAGUACUUCGAUGACAAAACAGAUUGUGUGUACCUAAUGUAGAUUAAUUAAGAAAGAGGAUUAUGAUGGAAGCGCAUCAUUCGAGAUAUUUUGUCCAUCCGGGGUCAACUAAAAUGUAUCAUGACUUGAAAGAAAUGUAUUGGUGGGGGGACAUGAAGAAGAACAUUGCAAAAUUCUUGGCUCAAUAUCCAAAUUGUCAACAAGUAAAAGUAGAGCACCAAAUGCCCGGAGGUUAUAUACAGUGUAUAGAACUUCCAAUUUGGAAGUGGGACAUGAUCAACAUGGAUUUUGUCACUGGUUUGCCUCGUUCAUUUCGAAAGUUUGAUUCUAUAUGGGUAAUUGUUGAUAGACCGACCAAAUCAGCGCACUUCUUGCCGGUCAAGAGUACUUAUACAGUCGAAGAAUAUGCGCUGUUGUAUAUUAAAGAGAUAGUUCAUCUACAUGGAGUGCCAAUUUCUAUUAUAUCGAAUAGGGGAGCUCAAUUCCCUGCAUAUUUUUGGAAGUCAUUUCAGAAGAGUUUAGGAACACAAGUGAAUUUAAGUACAGCCUUUCAUCCUCAAACAGACGGUCAGGCAGAGCGUACAAUUCAAACACUUGAGGAUAUGCUGCGAGCUUGUAUAUUGGACUUCAAAGGUAGUUGGGAUGAUCAUUUGCCAUUGAUCGAGUUUGCAUACAGCAAUAGCUACCAUUCAAGUAUUAAAUGGCACCUUAUGAAGCUUUAUAUGGUAGAAAAUGUAGAUCCCCAAUUGGCUGGUUCGAAAAAGGUGAAACUGCCUUAUUUGUGCCAGAUCUUGUUCAUAAGCUAUGGAAAAAGUUAAAGUGAUACAGCAUCGGCUAGAAACAGCUCAAAGUCGACAAAAAUCAUAUGCGGAUGUUAGAAGGAGAGGACUAGAAUUUUCUAUAGGGGAUUGGGUGUUCUUGAAGGUGUCACCAAUGAAAGGGGUAAUGAGGUUUGGUAAAAAAGGAAAAUUGAGUCCACGCUAUAUAGGGCCAUAUAAGAUUAUUCGAAGAGUUGACCAAGUAGCCUAUUAGUUAGAGCUACCACAAGAGCUUUCAUCAGUUCAUCCGGUGUUUCAUGUCUCGAUGCUAUUGUAUAGAGAAAAAAAGUCUGAAAUAUAUUCGAACUUUGACCGAAAUUAUUGUAAUAAUACCAAACUUAGGAAAGGACCUUUUACCCUCUGCACUAUUUACACUACACCAUUUUAGGUCUACAGCAACACUAAUUCUGGACUACGUUUGUAAAGUGUUGCCUAAAGUAGUUUUGGGAACGCUUUUAAAGCGUAGCCAAAGUGUUUACCUUUUAGCACGAUAAUAAUGGCAACACUUCAAAAGUGUACUCUUUAAUGGUAUGAGCUACACUUUAUAAGUGUUGUUACAAUAUGAUAUAAUUGGCAACACCUAUUUACAUAUAUGGCCAUACUUUUAAAGUGUCCUAUUUUAUAAUUGAAAAAACAACACAUUAUAAGUGUGGCCUUAAAAUUUUCACUAAAAUUUUAUGUUCCCUCCAAUAUUUUUAACUCUCCUUCCCAUUUUUUAUUGGCCAAAAAAAAUAAGAUUAAUAAAUCAUAAACAUUAAUCAGUCUUUCAUGCUUCACUUUCCUCAUUCACGCUUUCCUCUUUCACUGAGCUAGCUGAACCUAAGUGAAGAGAGGUGAAGAACCAAAGAACCGAUUCUCUUCUCCGAUAUAGAUUUGUGAGAAAAAGACGCUGAAUAGUUGAGGUCGUCGAAGACGAGCUAAAGAGUUGAAGAGUUGAAGUCAUCGAAGAGUUGAAGUCGCUGAAGAGUAAGUACGAUUCUCUUUUCCAAUACCUGUUUCGUCAAGCUUAAGUACUAAAUCAGUCUUCUUGUUAGCUGAAGUGGUUGAUUUUUGUUUUGUGUUUAGAAGAGGAAUAAGAAGGAAUUGAUUAUUUGGGGUUGUUGGCAAGAUGAACUGAAGCUAAUUAGUCUCUCUGUCAUGGUUUUCUCUCAAAUUUCUCACUGAAGAACAUGAUUUCAGACAAAUUUUGUUGGAAUAGGGUUUAUUAGGUAAGAAAUUCUAUAUUUGAAAGUCUAAAUUUUAGCUUUAGAGUUUUGAUAUUCUUGUGUUUUUAUACGAUUUUGGGAGUGUAGCUAGUAAUUUAGCUUCAUUAGUUCAGUUCACUGUUAGGUGUUGGAAAAAAGUUGGGAUUUAUUUGAGCAAAAAAAUUUAGAGCAACUGAAGAAAAUAGUUAAAAUAUAUAUAUAGAAACACAUUCAAGGCAGGGAGAGUUAAGUGUCGAUAAGAGUAUUACAUUUUCUAAUUCGUUUCGCAGAUCAGUUUUCCCAAGCUUUGUUCGAGUUCGAGAUUCUGCCCAGAAUUCUCAUAUGUCGUUAGUGUUCAAGUUUCGUGGUGAAGAUCGUUUCCCUGCUCGUCUCGUUCCAGUUCACUGCCCGAAGAAAGGUAAUGUCAUUUACCUCAUAGUACUCUUUUCGCCUCUUCUAUUUUAAGAGUGAUAUUGUGACUGUUUAAAGCUGUUUUGAUUAGUUUGUUUCUUUUUUGUUGAUGUUGAUUCAAUAUGAGAUAUGUAUUUCUUAAUUAGUUACUUUCGCGGGUCUGAUGAAUAUCUCUUUAAAGAUUCGAGAAUUUGUAUUCAUUAUUGUUAUUCCCCUACUUGUCAUUCAAAGUUUUGUUUGUUGUUUCUCUUCCUGAUCUUGUCUUUUGGAAUGUGCAUUGGAGUACUUGGUUUUGUUCUGCUAAAUGUUAGAUUGCUCUCAGGGGAUGUGCAUUGUUACCGCACACUUUUAUUCUCCCAUAAUCUCAUAGGUUGCAUAUGGUUAUAGCCUGUGAUAUCUAUCUAUCUAUCUAUUGUCUUAUGAAGAAAUCAACAGCUAUGUUACUUCCAUAGUCUUGUAAGUAAAAAAUAUCAAUAGGUUUAUCUAUUGUAACUGUAAUUUUAUAAGAGGAAUGAGCACUUAAAGUCUCUAAUGCAACAUCAAUUCAAAAUAUCAUUUUUUUGAUAGAUAUUCAAGGUAACAAUCCUAUGUAGCCUUCAUAUGAUUAUAUAAAAGCUUCUUUUAUUUUACUCUCAUCUUAUUUUUCAAUUUUUUUGGGGGUGGAAAGUGUGGGAUGGCUAUCCAUCUUUCAUUGUUGAUAUGCUUUUGUGGUCAGUUUAUUGUUUCAAUUCCCAAGUUUUUUGUUCACAUUGUGCUCCAAUUCCAAUAGUAUACAUGGUUGACAAUAGUUUAUGAAGGGAAAUUCAUUUUGUAAUAACAACAAGUGCACACUUGUUAUCCACAUCAUGAGUAGGAGAAAGACAAAAGGCAAUCAAUUCCUUUGUAGUAAUUUCAAUUUCUAUGUGAUUUUGACAUCGUGUGAUUUGUACCUUUCAUUUCUUUGGUGCUUGCCAUGUGCUUGUACAUGAUUUUCUAACGUCUGGUUAUGAGUCACUUUGAAAAUAUAUCUUUCCCCUCCCAAAAAAAACACACCAAUUUAAUGAAAUUAUGACGUUAAAAUAAAGCAAAAAUUGACAAGUCAAUAUAAGUAAUUACAUAUUAAGUUUGCUUUGCUUUUUAUUUUAAUGGAAGAACAUAUAGUGAGCUAACUCCCUAGUCUUGUCCAAUGAUAUAAAUAGUUUUACGAUAAAUACAUCAUAUUAUGCAUGUCCAUUACACAAUUUUCUGGGAAAACAGCUGAUGAUGCCUUUAGGGCAGUGCUUGGAAAUGAACAGCCUGGCCGACUUAGGUGUUAUGGCAGAUCAGUGACAACAAGUUCUCUAAAAGAAUAUGAAGAAAUUAACAAGCUAAAACAAAAGCAUGCUAAUGAAAUCAGUUCUCUGAAGGAAGAAAUGAAUGAAAAAAUGAAUGAAAUGAGAGUAGAAAUAUGACAUUUUUUCAGUCAGUUGCUGCAAAACAACCCUAGAUUGAAUGUUCAAGAUAUACCAGGGGUUGUUGGAUCUAAUCUUAUUUCACCUGUUGAUGCAAUUAGCGCGCACAAGUUGUAAAAGGCAAAAAUAUUCCACAUUCUUCAGGGUCAAUUCAUGAUUCGGUUCUUCAAAAGGUAUUUUCUUGGUUCCUUAAGGCAUUUCUCUCACUUUCUCUCCUCUGGAACCUCUCAAUUGUAUUUUCCUCAACUCUGUCUAGUUGUUCUUGUUGGCUGUUAGUUUGAUCUUGCACAACAAGAUCAUUAUAGUUAUUAUGAGUAGAAAUAGUAGAUUUGGUUGCUGAUUUGUAUGUGUAGUUGUGGCUCCAUCCGGCAGUCCAUGCUUGGUACUGAUAUUUUAGAUAUUUCUAGCAAAGUGCCCUGCCAAAAAAAUGUGAUCAAUGGUGUCUUUUACUGGUUAAUAGCAGCAGAAACACUUGAAAUGUUGUUGACCAAAAUUGUGAGCUUGUUCCUUUUCUCUCUAAUCUGAUCCCAAGUAGAUGAGCAUGUGAAUUCUACAUUUGCGUUGGGUUUCUAGAUUGGUUGAUUAGAAACCAUGGGCUGGUAGUGAAUUUGAGUCGCAAGAAUGGUCGGGACAAGAUCUGGAGGUGCAGUUUGAUAGACAGUUUUCUGUUAAAGUUACACACUUUUUCUGUUAAAGUUGCACACUGGAAAUCUGGAAAUCUGGAAUCUGGAAAUCUGGAAAUCUAGAAAUCUGGAAAUCUAGAAAUCUGGAAUCUGGAAAUCUGGAAUCUGGAAAUCCAUCAGGGUUUGAAAUAAAAAUGAAUAUUGAGGAUUCAUAUAGCUAAAGCAACUAAUUUUGAAUUGAUCUAUAGUUGUUGUUUUAGAAGGUUCCAUGCUUAUCUUUAACAUCUAGGAUUCAUAUAGCUAAACAUCUACUUUUGUAUGUCUUUUUCAAAUUCAACUCAACAAGCAGCUGACUCAUUUUGUGUCCCUUCCAAAGCAUUAUUUUCUGGAAGGAAAUUAUAAAAAACCCAGAAAGGUUUUUGUAAGUUGUAACUUCUAGAUUUCUGGUAAGUUAAUGGAUAUGCAUUCCCUGAAACUUUGGUCUUAGUAUCAUCUGUUCUCUCAUAACAUGAAGAUCUAUUAGGCCAUCAUCAAGCAAAUUGAAGUUUAUAUCUUAGAGAAAUUAGCAAAGGAAGCAUACGGCAUGUGUGCAUGAUAUGCUUUUGGUAAAUUCAACUAGGAAUGACUAAAACUUUUAAAAACUAGGAUAGGGGAAUAGAAAAUAAGAGAGUGGAAAUAAGAUGCUAAUGUUGAGUGUGAGCAUACAGCAACAAUGGAUAGUCAUAGGUGAUGAAAGAAAACAGAUUAACAACAUAGUAGCUGAUGUUGUAGCUCCUCUGUUUUUUUAUAACAGUGUGAUUAUGAGGGUGUUGUUGGAAAAAUAGUGCAGCUUCACAAAUUGGACCACAUCUUUCGGUAAAAAUUUAAAAUCCAGAAUUUUUGUGCAAUGUGGAAUGUGGAAUGUGGAACUCUUUGCCUCUUCUAUAAUUGUUGCAAUCUGAUUUGUCAUAAAUUCUAAAUGUGUAGGGAAAUGGAGGUGAUCAAAUUUGAAGGGUCGCUACAAGUCAAUUUGAUCUCAUUGAAGUGGCUGAUGAAGAGUUUUUGAACUAUUGUAAAAGUUUGAAUACAUUAUGUUUGAUUUUGUGAAAUAUAUUCUUUGCUAGAAUAUAUUGAACUAUUGUAAGAGUACUUUUUGAACAAUUGUGUACACAUAUUUAGAAUAUUGUUGUAUAAGUAUAUGUGUAAGUACACAAG